rnacentral:rRNA from 1 species
GACGUAGGGCGCGAGCGUUGUCCGGAUUUAUUGGGCGUAAAGAGCUCGUAGGCGGCUUGUCGCGUCGACUGUGAAAACCCACGGCUUAACUGUGGGCUUGCAGUCGAUACGGGCAGGCUAGAGUUCGGUAGGGGAGACUGGAAUUCCUGGUGUAGCGGUGAAAUGCGCAGAUAUCAGGAGGAACACCGGUGGCGAAGGCGGGUCUCUGGGCCGAUACUGACGCUGAGACGCGAAAGCGUGGGGAGCAAACAGG